rnacentral:rRNA from 1 species
AGAACGAACGCUGGCGGCAUGCCUAACACAUGCAAGUCGAACGAGACCUUCGGGUCUAGUGGCGCACGGGUGCGUAACGCGUGGGAAUCUGCCCUUGGGUUCGGGAUAACAGUUGGAAACGACUGCUAAUACCGGAUGAUGUCUUCGGACCAAAGAUUUAUCGCCCAGGGAUGAGCCCGCGUAAGAUUAGCUAGUUGGUGGGGUAAAAGCCUACCAAGGCGACGAUCUUUAGCUGGUCUGAGAGGAUGAUCAGCCACACUGGGACUGAGACACGGCCCAGACUCCUACGGGAGGCAGCAGUGGGGAAUAUUGGACAAUGGGCGAAAGCCUGAUCCAGCAAUGCCGCGUGAGUGAUGAAGGCCUUAGGGUUGUAAAGCUCUUUUACCCGGGAUGAUAAUGACAGUACGGGAGAAUAACGCCCGGCUAACUCCGUGCCAGCAGCCGC